ACUAGUGCCACUUCUGGUUGGUGAAGUUGCCUGUGCUGCAGCCCCCUUGACAUAAUGGAGAGGAGCCUGGUGGUAGAAUGUUCUCCAAGAGGAGCCCCCUCAGCUGUGAAACAGGGCUGAUCUCUGAGGACUGAUACAUUGCUCAUCCUGCUACCAUUUAUUUCAAGUAGCCCAAUAUUAAGAGUGCACUCCUACAAAUUCUUAGUCACACAAGUAGUCCCAGAUUUGCCCUGCUCAAUGGAUUCUGUCCUUUACGUGAUCUCUCACUAGUAAGGCAGAGCACAUCAGAGAUGUGAGUGAAGUGAACUCUUAAGUGCCAGCUUGAGAUUAAGAAGCAACAAAACUGUCAGACACUGAAAUGUAUGUUUAUAUUUUG